GGCGGCGUCCUGCCGGCUGCGGAGCCAGAAGGGCGAAGACGCCGCCGGGGCCGCGGAGCGGAGGUGGCCGGUACAGCCCUGCCUGCCGCCGCGCCCCUCUCCCAGAUAAACCAGAGGCGCUAAGGAAGUAGGAAGUCCCAGAAAAGCAAGUCCUGGGUACCUUGCCCAGGUGAGGGAGGGGGGCGCAGGGCUCCGGCUCUGCUUGCAGCUGCUAACCCGGGAUGAAGCAGAUAAGCAGUGCAUGGCAUUUAAACAACAACAACAAAAGAAUCGAGAUCAGAUAAAACAAUGAAGAGAUCGACACCCGGCAGAAAAAAAAAAAAAAAAA